CCAUUUCCCAGAUCUAAUUGUUAACUUUUAUAUAUAUAUAUAUUGAUUCUGUACCUUUUAUUUUAUUUUGGCCUGCAGAUUGGAUCCAGAUGCCUCUAGCCAGUUUGAUGGGUUCACGCCACGUGUAAUGUCAUCAAUUUCUAUUAAUGUGUUUUUAUUAUUCUAUACAAGUGUGAGUAAACAACAUAUAUUUUGCAUUGAAUCACUAUUUGUUCUUUUAUGGGUAUCUAUUAAUUGAUCACUAAUACAAAUAUGGUUGUAUUUACUUUUUCUUUUUGGCGGAUUCCAUUGUUUAGUUCGAAAAAGUUUAUAUUUUAAUUGUUUAAAG
rnacentral:lncRNA from 1 species